AGCUUUGCGCAGUGGCAGUAUCAUAGCCAAUGAGGUUUAUCCGAGUCGCGAUUAUUGCUAAUUGAAAACUUUUCCCAAAAAUG
rnacentral:snRNA from 1 species